CCUACGGGCGGCAGCAGUGGGGAAUAUUGCGCAAUGGGCGAAAGCCUGACGCAGCGACGCCGCGUGAGGGAUGAAGGUCUUCGGAUCGUAAACCUCUGUCAGCAGGGAAGAACGGUCACUGUGCUAAUCAGCAGUGAAUUGACGGUACCUGCACAGGAAGCACCGGCUAACUCCGUGCCAGCAGCCGCGGUAAUACGGAGGGUGCGAGCGUUAAUCGGAAUUACUGGGCGUAAAGCGCUCGUAGGCGGUAUGUCAAGUCAAGGGUGAAAUCCCCGCGCGCAACGUGGGGACUGCCUUUGAAACUGGCAAACUGGAGUGUGUGAGAGGAAAGUGGAAUUCCAGGUGUAGGAGUGAAAUGCGUAGAUAUCUGGAGGAACAUCAGUGGCGAAGGCGACUAACUGGCACAUAACUGACGCUGAGGAACGAAAGCGUGGGUAGCAAACAGGAUUAGAUACCCCUGUAGUC
rnacentral:rRNA from 1 species